AUACGUAGGGUGCAAGCGUUAAUCGGAAUUACUGGGCGUAAAGCGUGCGCAGGCGGCUUGACAAGUCUGAUGUGAAAUCUCCACGGCUCACCCGGGAGACGCCAUUGGAAACUGUUGAGCUUGAGGUCCGGAGAGGUCGGUGGAAUUCCCGGUGUAGCGGUGGAAUGCGUAGAUAUCGGGAAGAACACCAGUGGCGAAGGCGGCCGACUGGACGGCACCUGACGCUGAGGCGCGAAAGUGUGGGGAGCAAACGGGAUUAGAUACCCCGGUAGUCCACACUGUAAACGUUGGUCACUAGGUGUUGGGGGUAUCGACCCCUCCAGUGCCGCAGCUAACGCAUUAAGUGACCCGCCUGGGGAGUACGGUCGCAAGACUGAAACUCAAAUGAAUUGACGGGG
rnacentral:rRNA from 1 species